rnacentral:lncRNA from 1 species
GCAAUGACAUUGCAGGAGGACGGUGCUCACCCUUAAACUUGUGCUGGGGAUUGUUUGCCUGUGCAGCUUUGGGAGAAGGAAAUAAAUAGCUGUUAAAGCAUCAGUCAUAGUGAAGCAGAUGAGAAAGUUCUCCUCUUUUGUUUUACCCUCCGCUGAGAUGGGAGAAGGGGGAAAAAGAAAGAAAUGGGGUAUUUAACAACAUCCACAGCUACAUCUUUUAACUGUGUGGGAACUGUACAGGCAUGGUGUAUUGACACAAAUGGCAUUGGAUGUGAAGGGCUCUGUGUCCAGGCAGAGGGAAAUGCUGUGGCAGUGCCACCACUUCUGAGCACUGAUGUGGAAGAAUUACCUUUGUCACUGCUGUGAUAUUUUUUUAAUGAGACAGAACUGUGGCUCUGUCACUGCUUAUUAAAACCUCUGCAAGCUCACAUGCACCGACGCAGGGGGAUGAGGUGAGAACAUUGCAUGAAGUGCACCAUCACCAAAACACAACUCAGCUCUUUCUUAUUUAUUUUUAAUCCGUUACAAGCACGUGAAUGACUCCUUCCAUUAUUUAUGCUCUGGGAAUAAAGGAUGCUGUUCUCACAGGCUCUGCUUUCAGCUUCAGCUCUGCUCUACGGGUCAGGGAAAGUGGCCACAUCGCUGCCACCCACGAGAGAGGUGACUGCCAUCACUGCUGGGUGUGAUGGUGUGAUUCCCUCCAGACUGCAUCCAUCCAUGCAAGGUGUUCACCACAAGCAGGGCUGGAUUAGCAGGAUAACAGCAGGCAGAUGGUGUGGACCUUUCCUACAUAGCAAAGCUUUGCCAUGCUGCCAGGGAGCCCCAAAUCUGCCAUCUUCAGGGUCCCACAGCUGUCACCUGGGGUGGACGUGGAGGAUCCUGAGGUGGAAGCACCUCAAUCUGGGGCUCCAAGCGGUCGUCGUUAUCACAACCUCACAGCAGUGCUACAGAAAAGCCACCGUGCUUGAAGAGGUGAUGAUUACAAUUGCAAAACCAAAUACCUGUUGCUCAGAACGACCAGAAUUUCAGCUCAAGCAGGCAGAGCGUGUGCUGCAGGCAGCAGGCUCAGCUGUGCACAGUUUGGAGCUCUCUGCCUGCAGGAUCACUGCUCACCUCAUCCCUGUGGCUUUGGGUUCACACUCAGCUCUGUGCCCGCUAUGGGGUGUCAGGGAGGUGGGGCAAUUCCUGCUGCUGUGUUGA